CUUUAAUGCAUCCUCGAAACAGUUCAAUUUUGUUUAAUGUAAGAUUAUAAUUAGUUAGUCAAUCUACAUAACGAUUUCUUUUACACCAUGCAUUAUUUAAUUUGACAUGUCAAUCUCGUCAAGUCAUCUUUCUAAUUUUACGAACUAAGGUUGGAAAAAUAUGAUCAUCCACAUACUCUUGACAUAACAUAUUUAUCAAUACUUUGGAGCCACUCUCGAACUAGGUUUGUAAUCUUCUCUUGUCAAGCUAACUACAACCCAUGCAACAUUGUCCGCAUCUUAGCAGCAAAAGCAUUACACAUACCAAUUUCUGAGCAUACCCCCUAAUCCAAUUACCAGAAGAAUUAUGAAAAAUACCUCCACAUCCAACAAUGGAUGUAUAACUCUUGUAAGUACGACCACAAUUAAGCUUGAUCCAAUUGCUAUCUGGUCGGCUUCAACGGACAUGUAGGAUCUCUAGUCUCAACAUAUGCACAUUCCUCUUCACACGGUACCAACACGAUAUCAUAAAGAUGGACUACCACUGAGUUCUCUGAUACUCUGCAAUAUUCUCUCUAAGAUUGUAAGAUAUCAAAUUCCUCCAAGAAAAAGAGUAAAAUUUAGUAAUUUUGUUAGUAAGAAUAAGUCUAAUCCAUACAUGUGUCGCAUAUGGGCAAUCCCUCAGCACAUGAUUCAAAGAUUCUUCAGUGUUCGUACAUGCACCCAACAGAGAUUGUUGGGUUUCAUUUGUGUUGUAUAUAGUUUAUCAAAAGUCUGGAUCCAAUGAGAACCUUUCAACUAUA